CACAACCCCCCCUUCACUCCGUCUCUCGGCCGCUGGGCGAGUGAGUGAGCGAGGGAGUGCGUAAGAAAGGCAAAGCGGCAGGCGUGUUUCAACAGAUGGCUCUCAGUGUCCCGCUUCAGCCAGUACUCACUCUCUCUGUGCACUUAGAGCUUUCCUGUUAGAGAGAGAGAGAGACAGAGAGAGAGAGAGAGAGAGAGAGCAGUUCAGUUUAAGAAAGUGAAAGGGCUUUGAGAACUUCUCCUUUUUCGUUGUUUGAAAACUUUUCGUCUACUCUCUAGUGAGCAGUAGAGAGAAAAGAUAGAGGGAGAGAGAGGAGGGUGGCGUGAGUGGGACGUUGACCCCCGCUGCUCUUACUCUCUCUUGGCCGGCUGCUCUGGGGGAUCCACUGCUAGUCUCAGGCGGGACAAUAAACCACCUGCUCCAAGUCCGGGGGCUUACACCGCCAACACUGGACCUGCAGCGCUGUGCGUGAGGGUCUCGUUUCCUGGCAGGAGUAGGACUUUAACACGAUGUAAG
ensembl:lncRNA